rnacentral:pre_miRNA from 1 species
CCUUUUGGAUGAUCAAAGAAAGUGGUUUCUUAAGAUGGAAUCUACUCUUGGUGAAGAUGCUGUGUA